UACAGAGGUCCCAAGCGUUGUUCGGAUUCACUGGGCGUAAAGGGUGCGUAGGUGGCGAGGUAAGUCGGAUGUGAAAGCUCGGAGCUCAACUCCGAAAUGGCAUUGGAAACUACCUUGCUCGAGGGAUGGAGGGGGGACUGGAAUUCUCGGUGUAGCAGUGAAAUGCGUAGAUAUCAAGUGGAACACCAGUGGCGAAGGCGAGUCUCUGGACAUUUCCUGACGCUGAGGCACGAAAGCCAGGGGAGCAAACGGG
rnacentral:rRNA from 1 species